rnacentral:pre_miRNA from 1 species
AUCACCUGGGAUUCUUGUUAAAAUGCAGAUUCUGAUUCAGUUAGUCUGAAGUGGAAUCCUGAGAUUUUGCACUUCCAACAAGCUCCCAGUGAUGCUGA